rnacentral:rRNA from 1 species
GACGAACGCUGGCGGCGUGCUUAACACAUGCAAGUCGAACGGAAAGGCCCUGCUUUGGUGGGGUGCGCGAGUGGCGACCGGGUGAGUAACCCGUGAGUAACCUGCACUUGACUGUGGGAUAACUUCAGGAAACUGGGGCUAAUACCGGAUAGGAGCUCCUGCUGCAUGGUGGGGGUUGGAAAGUUUCGGCGGUUGGGGAUGGACUCGCGGCCUAUCAGCUUGAUGGUGGGGUAGUGGCUUACCAAGGCUUUGCCGGGUAGCCGGCCUGAGAGGGGCAGCGGCCCAACUGCGACGGGGAUGAGGCACGGACUACUAUGGGAGGCAGGGGAGGGGAAGGUUGCACAGUGGGCUGAAGCAUGGUGCAGCAAAGCAGUGUGGGGGAUGUGGGCAUUCGGUUUGUAUUCCGAUGCCGCCUUAGACGAGGCGUGAGUGACGGUAAUGGGUAAAGAAGCACCGGCUAACUACGUG